rnacentral:rRNA from 1 species
GACGAACCGUACGAACGUUAUUCGGAAUCACUGGGCUUAAAGGGUGCGUAGGCGGCGAUGAAAGUUGGGUGUGAAAUCCCUCGGCUCAACCGAGGAACUGCGCCCAAAACUACAUUGCUUGAGGGAGAUAGAGGUGAGCGGAACUUAGGGUGGAGCGGUGAAAUGCGUUGAUAUCCUAAGGAACGCCAGGGGCGAAAGCGGCUCACUGGAUCUCUUCUGACGCUGAGGCACGAAAGCUAGGGUAGCGAACGGG